CGUACCCAUGAGUCUUGGUUCUUUAACUUGUCUUUACGUAAUCAGUCUUUUGCCAACCCUAACAAUUUCCCCAAUCGGCCAAUCUUUCUCUGCUCAUCUACAGAGAGUCAUCCUUCGUUUGGGAUUCGGAUUAGGGUUUCCCAAUCACCACUUUCUCACUCAUCUUGCAGCCAUGGAUGCUCAGAGAGCUCUUCUUGAUGAACUCAUGGGUUCAGCUCGCAACUUGACGGAGGAAGAGAGGAAAGGAUACAAAGAAGUGACGUGGGACGAUAAGGAAGUGUGUGGAUUCUACAUGGUGCGGUUUUGCCCUCACGAUCUCUUUGUCAACACUCGCAGCGAUCUUGGUCCUUGCCCAAGAAUACAUGAUCCGAAGUUGAAAGAAAGCUUUGAGAAUUCCCCAAGACAUGAUGCAUUCGUACCCAAAUUUGAAGCUGACCUUGCUCAGUUCUGUGAGAAAUUGGUAAUGGACUUGGAUAGAAGAGUAAGACGUGGGCGAGAACGUCUUGCUCAAGAGGUGGAGCCAGCACCAGCGCCUCCAUUGACAACUGAAAAGUCUGAACAGCUAUCCGUGCUGGAGGAGAAGAUAAAGAAUCUUCUGGAACAAGUUGAAUCUUUAGGUGAAGCUGGGAAGGUUGAUGAAGCUGAAGCUCUUAUGAGGAAGGUGGAUGCACUCAAUGUUGAGAAAACGGCAUUAACACAGCCUCAAAAUGAUAAGGUGUUGAUGCUUGGUCAGGAGAAGAAGAUGGCACUAUGUGAGAUAUGUGGUUCUUUUCUUGUGGCAAAUGAUGCUGCAGAAAGGACUCAGUCCCAUAUUACUGGGAAGCAACAUGUUGGUUAUGGCAUGGUUCGCGAUUUCAUAUCCGAAUACAAGGCUGCCAAAGAGAAGGCUGUUGAAGAAGAAAGAUUAGCCCGGGAAAAAGAGGCAGAAGAGCGAAGGAAACAAAGGGAGAAGGAUCAUGAGAGAAGACGACGAAGUGAUUCAAGUGAUAGGGACAGGCAUCGGGAUAAAGAUCGAGAUAGGGACAGGGAUAGGUACAGAGAUAGAGACCUAGAUCGUGAAAGGUCUCGGGAGCUGGAUGGUAGAGGUAAUCGAGAUGGGGGAAGGGGCAUGGAUUCUAGGUUGAGGAAUGGAAGAAAUGGAGGCAGAGACAGGUACCGCAACAAAAGCAGGUCACGCUCCCCCGUUAGGCACAACUACAGGCGGCACUCCUGAAAUCUGGUUUCUCAAAUUUGGGGAAUUUCUUGAUAGAUGUCGGAAUUUGAAUUAAAAAGAGGUAGAUCUUAAUAUCCCAAGACUUAGAUAAAUAUGUGUUUUGGAGUCCUGAGUUUUCUCAUCAUCAAGGGUGAAUUUAUUUUGUUUCUUAUGUCAGAGCUUUGUUGAGACUAUACAAUCUCCCUUCCAUCAAUAUUAUUUAUGGAGAAAAAAGGGUUGAGACACAAAAUUACAUGCAUGGUUGUCAUUGCUGCUGAGGGGGAUGGUUUUCUCAUGUUUUGAGGUAACCUGUGAAUCUUAUAUCCUGAGAAAAAUAUGAUAUUUGUUCAUAGUAGAAAUCAUGUUUGGUUUCCCGUAAUCUUUUUGUUUCAUUACUUUGCUUCUUAAGUUGAUAUAAACCAGCACAGGGUUUAAAAAUGCUGCUCAAACAUGCAUUUGACAUUGAGCUACAUACCAAAGGCACCAGUUUAGAAGAUAUGGGUAACAUACCGAAUCUGUUGUUAGUAAUCUCCCAAAUCCAUGGUGUCCUAUUUAUAAUAUAUCUGUCAUGAUAACAUAAAUUAACUCUAUAUUCCCUAAACUCCUGGUAUCAUUGUAGAUGAGUUUCCUAUUGCUGGAGGUGCUGAAUAGGUAGGCUAUGUUGAUAGAAUUGAAGCAAAAACUGAUUUUUUGCUAAACUUGGUUUGAUUUAGCCAAUUGGCCUUUAAGAGGAAAAACAAUAUCAAAACUAAUUGUGAAAGUUAAGAUUUUUCUUUUGGGUGUUAACUCAUUUUAAAGCACUCUAAUUUCAAAUCUUAUUUCACAAUGUAAUUUUACUUUUUAGUACAUGUUAAGUAAAUUAUUGGAAAAAAAUAUUUUUAAAGUUGAAUUAUUAUAUAUAUAUAAAGAAAAUAUGCCAUAGUGCAAAUUGCUAACCAUCACUAUGCUGAGCCUAUAAUGGUCCAAGCUUGGCCUAUGGAGAAAAUAUAAGUUUUUGGUCCACCAUAAGUAGUUGAUCCUAAUGAUUUUACUAUAAGAUGCAAUGACUUAUCAUGUAUCCAAUUUGACUUAAUAGGAAAAACUAUGUUGUUGUAGUUGUACAACUAAGAAGCUAUUUUGACGAAUUUGGAUCUGGUAUAGAAUCAAUUAGGUUGUUAGAUUACAACCUUGUUAGAAAUAAUGCUUCAGUUGAAGAUUUGCCGAGGAGCCGCUUCAGUUGAAGAUUCGUAGAACCGGAAACACAUGAUUUUUUUUUUUAAUUUUUGGAUUUUCUAUGUAGUCAUUUGCAUGGAAAACUAUCAAUCAUGAUUGGGAUGUAUGACGCCUCUUGUUGGAAGAACGGGAGCAAGUCGAAAAUAAGGCUUAUCUGGAGAAUAAUCUGAAUAUUGUUACUUUGGUACAUUCUUCAGUCUUGAAUAAUUGUAAUAUUCAAGCUAAUAAAUCUGGCAUUUUGGAGCAAUGCAAGCUUUUCUUCCCUGUUCUUAGAAUCUCACAACUUAGAUUAUAUUCUGUUACCUUCCGUCGCACUUGAAUGUCUAAUGAUCUCAUAGU